ACUGCUCAGUAACACGUGGACAAGCUGCCCUAUCGCGGGGGAUAAUCUCGGGAAACUGAGGAUAAUACCCCAUAGCUCUUAGAUACUGGAAUGUUCUAAGAUUGAAAGCUCCGGCACGAUAGGAUGCGUCUGCGGUCGAUUAGUUUGUAGGCGGUGUAAUGGACCACCUAGGCUAUAAUCGAUAAGGGUCAUGAGAGUGAUAGCCCUGAGACGGAAUCUGAGACACUAUUCCGAGCCUUACGGGGUGCAGCAGCAGCGAAACCUUUACAAUGCACGAAAGUGUGAUAAGGGAAUUCCAAGUGUGCAUAUACCAUAUGUACUUUUAUUUAGUGCAAAAAGCUAGGUGAAUAAGGGGUGGGUAAGACUAGUGCCAGCCGCCGCGGUAAAACUAGCAUCCCAAGUGGCAGUCACCAUUACUGGGCUUAAAGCGUCCGUAGCUUGUCUGGAAAGUCUCUGCUGAAAUCCUGCGGCUUAACCGUAGGGCUUGGCGGGGAAACUAUCAGACUUGAGGAUGGGAGAGGUCGGAGGUACUUCUGGGGUAGGGGUGAAAUCCUAUAAUCCUAGAAGGACCAACAGUGGCGAAGGCGUCCGACAUGAACAUGCCUGACAGUGAGGGACGAGAGCCAGGGUCGCGAAACGGAUUAGAUACCCGUGUAGUCCUGGCCGUAAACGAUGCUGACUAGGUGGGGCGUGAUCUUUGAGAUCAUGCUAUGCCGAAGGGAAACCGUUAAGUCAGCCGCCUGGGGAGUACGUCCGCAAGGAUGAAACUUAAAGGAAUUGGCGGGGGAG
rnacentral:rRNA from 1 species